GCGCUCGCUUCAGCAGCACAUAGACUAAAAUUGGAACGAUACAGAGAAGAUUGGCAUGACCCCUGCGCAAGGAUGACACGCAAAUUUGUGAAGCGUUCAUAUUU
rnacentral:snRNA from 1 species